rnacentral:rRNA from 1 species
UACGGGGGGAGCAAGCGUUGUUCGGAUUUACUGGGCGUAAAGGGCGCGUAGGCGGCCACUGCAAGUCAGUUGUGAAAUCUCCGGGCUUAACCCGGAAAGGUUAACUGAUACUGCAGGGCUAGAGUGCAGAAGGGGCAACUGGAAUUCUCGGUGGAGCGGUGAAAUGCGUAGAUAUCGCUUGGAACGCCGACGGUGAAAACAGUCUGCUGGGGGUGUGCUGACGCUGAGACACGAAAGCCAGGGGAGCGAACGGG